rnacentral:rRNA from 1 species
UNAGUUUGAUCCUGGCUCAGGAUGAACGCUGGCGGCGUGCCUAAUACAUGCAAGUCGAACGCGGAUCGUAAGAUCCGAGUGGCGAACGGGUGAGUAAGACGUAAGUAACCUGGCCUAAACAGGGGGAUAACUGAUGGAAACGUCAGCUAAUACCGCAUAGGUAUAGAGACCGCAUGGAAGCUAUAUUAAAGGGUGCCAAGGCACCGGUAUAGGAUGGACUUACGGCGCAUUAGCUAGUUGGAGGGGUAAAGGCCCACCAAGGCGACGAUGCGUAGCCGACCUGAGAGGGUGACCGGCCACACUGGGACUGAGACACGGCCCAGACUCCUACGGGAGGCAGCAGUAGGGAAUUUUCGGCAAUGGGCGAAAGCCUGACCGAGCAACGCCGCGUGAAGGAAGAAGGAAUUCGUUCUGUAAACUUCUGUUAUAAAGGAAGAACGGCACAUAUAGGGAAUGAUAUGUGAGUGACGGUACUUUAUGAGGAAGCCACGGCUAACUACGUGCCAGCAGCCGCGGUAAUACGUAGGUGGCGAGCGUUAUCCGGAAUUAUUGGGCGUAAAGAGGGAGCAGGCGGCAGCAAGGGUCUGUGGUGAAAGAAUGGGGCUCAACCCCAUAGAGCCAUAGAAACCGGGCAGCUAGAGUGCAGGAGAGGAUCGUGGAAUUCCAUGUGUAGCGGUGAAAUGCGUAGAUAUAUGGAGGAACACCAGUGGCGAAKGCGACGGUCUGGACUGCAACUGACGCUCAKUCCCGAAAGCGUGGGGAGCAAAUAGGAUUAGAUACCCUAGUAGUCCACGCCGUAAACGAUGAGUACUAAGUGUUGGGAGUCAGAUCCCAGUGCUGCAGUUAACGCAGUAAGUACUCCGCCUGAGUAGUACGUUCGCAAGAAUGAAACUCAAAGGAAUUGACGGGGGCCCGCACAAGCGGUGGAGCAUGUGGUUUAAUUCGAAGCAACGCGAAGAACCUUACCAGGUCUUGACAUCGAUCUAAAAGGGCAAGAGAUUGCCAAAUAGUUAUAGAGAAGACAGGUGGUGCAUGGUUGUCGUCAGCUCGUGUCGUGAGAUGUUGGGUUAAGUCCCGCAACGAGCGCAACCCUUGUCCUUUGUUGCCAGCGGUUUAAGCCGGGAACUCAAAGGAGACUGCCAGUGACAAACUGGAGGAAGGCAGGGAUGACGUCAAGUCAUCAUGGCCCUUACGGUCAGGGCUACACACGUGCUACAAUGGGGCGUACAGAGGGAGACGAGCCCGCGAGGGGGAGUGGAACCCAGAAAGCGUCCCGCAGUUCGGAUUGGAGUCUGCAACUCGGCUCCAUGAAGUCGGAAUCGCUAGUAAUCGCGGAUCAGAAUGCCGCGGUGAAUACGUUCCCGGGCCUUGUACACACCGCCCGUCACACCAUGGGAGUGAAUUGCACCAGAAGUAGUUAGCCUAACCGAAAGGAGGGCGAUUACCACGGUGUGGUUUAUGACUGGGGUGAAGUCGUAACAAGGUAACCGUAA